rnacentral:rRNA from 1 species
AUUGAACGCUGGCGGCAGGCUUAACACAUGCAAGUCGAGCGGGGUGAUGGUGCUUGCACUAUCACUUAGCGGCGGACGGGUGAGUAAUGCUUAGGAAUCUGCCUAUUAGUGGGGGACAACAUCUCGAAAGGGAUGCUAAUACCGCAUACGUCCUACGGGAGGAAGCAGGGGAUCACUUGCGACCUUGCGCUAAUAGAUGAGCCUAAGUCGGAUUAGCUAGUUGGUGGGGUAAAGGCCUACCAAGGCGACGAUCUGUAGCGGGUCUGAGAGGAUGAUCCGCCACACUGGGACUGAGACACGGCCCAGACUCCUACGGGAGGCAGCAGUGGGGAAUAUUGGACAAUGGGGGGAACCCUGAUCCAGCCAUGCCGCGUGUGUGAAGAAGGCCUUAUGGUUGUAAAGCACUUUAAGCGAGGAGGAGGCUCUUUUGGUUAAUACCCAAGAUGAGUGGACGUUACUCGCAGAAUAAGCACCGGCUAACUCUGUGCCAGCCGCCGCAGUAA